CUCUUGGCUGGUUCGAAGACCGCAAUGUGUUAAUUCUCAAGCUGCGUGGUUCAAAUACAUAGCCAAAAGCAAUUUUUGUCACGACGGUCUCUGCUUUGUGAUUUUCACGCAAUUCAGUAACUUUUACGUGCAAUUACAGUU
rfam:Drosophila busckii chromosome 3L sequence.